rnacentral:SRP_RNA from 2 species
ACUCGGGCGCUCCCUGCUUUGUUUCCGGUGAACCCCGUCAGGUCCGGAAGGAAGCAGCGGCAGCCAGGCGGCAAAGGCCGGGAAUCACGUCUGGUUUGC